rnacentral:rRNA from 1 species
UAGGGAAUCUUCGGCAAUGGGGGCAACCCCUGACCGAGCAACGCCGCGUGAGUGAAGAAGGUUUUCGGAUCGUAAAGCUCUGUUGUAAGAGAAGAACGUGUGUGAGAGUGGAAAGUUCACACAGUGACGGUAACUUACCAGAAAGGGACGGCUAACUACGUACCAG